CUGCGGCUCUGGCUGUGAUUGUG
rnacentral:siRNA from 1 species